rnacentral:rRNA from 1 species
UGGGGAAUAUUGCACAAUGGGGGAAACCCUGAUGCAGCGACGCCGCGUGGAGGAAGAAGGUCUUCGGAUUGUAAACUCCUGUUGUUGAGGAAGAUAAUGACGGUACUCAACAAGGAAGUGACGGCUAACUACGUGCCAGCAGCCGCGGUAAAACGUAGGUCACAAGCGUUGUCCGGAAUUACUGGGUGUAAAGGGAGCGCAGGCGGGAAGACAAGUUGGAAGUGAAAUCCAUGGGCUCAACCCAUGAACUGCUUUCAAAACUGUUUUUCUUGAGUAGUGCAGAGGUAGGCGGAAUUCCCGGUGUAGCGGUGGAAUGCGUAGAUAUCGGGAGGAACACCAGUGGCGAAGGCGGCCUACUGGGCACCAACUGACGCUGAGGCUCGAAAGUGUGGGUAGCAAACAGGAUUAGAUACCCUGGUAGUCCACACUGUAAACGAUGAUUACUAGGUGUUGGAGGAUUGACCCCUUCAGUGCCGCAGUUAACACAAUAAGUAAUCCACCUGGGGAGUACGACCGCAAGGUUGAAACUCAAAGGAAUUGACGGGGGCCCGCACAAGCAGUGGAGUAUGUGGUUUAAUUCGACGCAACGCGAAGAACCUUACCAAGUCUUGACAUCCCUUGACGAUGCUGGAAACAGUAUUUCUCUUCGGAGCAAGGAGACAGGUGGUGCAUGGUUGUCGUCAGCUCGUGUCGUGAGAUGUUGGGUUAAGUCCCGCAACGAGCGCAACCCUUAUGGUCAGUUACUACGCAAGAGGACUCUGGCCAGACUGCCGUUGACAAAACGGAGGAAGGUGGGGAUGACGUCAAAUCAUCAUGCCCUUUAUGACCUGGGCUACACACGUACUACAAUGGCCAUUAACAGAGGGAAGCAAAACCGCGAGGCAGAGCAAACCCCUAAAAAUGGUCCCAGUUCGGAUUGUAGGCUGCAACCCGCCUACAUGAAGUUGGAAUUGCUAGUAAUCGCGGAUCAGCAUGCCGCGGUGAAUACGUUCCC